rnacentral:rRNA from 1 species
UACAGAGACCUCAAGCGUUAUCCGGAAUCAUUGGGCGUAAAGCGUACCGAUAGGUGGUCAUGAUAGUUUUGGGUAAAAGCCAGAAGCUUAACUUCUGAGUUUGCUCAAAAUACUUCACGACUAGAGGGGCAAAUAGGAAGCUGGAACGAACGGUGUAGCGGUGAAAUGCGUAGAUAUCGGUAGGAACACCAGUGGCGAAGGCGGUCUCCUGGGGCAUUCUUGACGCUGAGGCGCGGAAGCUGGGGGAGCGAACGGG